AAAAAAAUGGAGAUCUACCAUACCAAACAGUGCUGGCACUUCAUCAAAAGGAACAAGAGAUCAUCAGUAUUCACACCCGAGUGAGGGAGCAGUUAUGGAGUCUUUAUCACCAACUACCCACGGCUGUCAGGCUGCUAUCUCGACUCAGCGAUUGGCACAUGAGGAAGAAAAAAAUAUUAACUGUAAUGAGUUUUCUUCCAGAUUUCCACUACCUUUUUAUAUGAAGAAGUGCUGCCUGGAUGCUGUCUUGAAUGCACUUUCCCUUAGUCUCCACUAGAUGUCCGAUUCCCUACCUCGCUAGAAGAAUUCUGCUGGACUGCCUUUUGGAUGCCUCUGAGAAGUCUGUAUAUCUAGGGGAAGUCUGCAAGACCCCCUCUCUUUGGAUGCCUUAAAGGAUUUUGAAAACCUACAUGAAGCUCCCAGACAUUGGCCACAGGUCCUCAGUGUUAAGUUCUCCUUAGGCUGUUAGAGUGAUAAAAACAUAAGAAAUGUGCCAAAUUACGUGAGACCAUUUAGUCCACAAGAUGCUUGUAUAGAAGUAGUCUACUUACUUUAUGAAAGCUGUUAGAAUGAAGGCAACACGAUCUGGUGACAUUAUUUGUUAGAUGACCUCUGACUUUCAUGUUCUGAUUCAAUCUCCUGUUGUAAGUCUCAUUGGAUAAAAGUGUCUGCCAACCAAGUAAAUGUAGAUGUAAAUCUUAAAUGCACUUCCCUUUAGUCUCCACUAGGUGUCCUCCAGCACAAUUCACUACAGUAAUCCCU